UUUUUUUUUGUUUGUUUGUUUGUUUUUUAAUUUAAGAGUCAUGCUGCUGAAUAACUGGGCUUUUUUUUUGUUGUUGUUGUUGUAUUCCAAAUUAUUGAAAGCAACUGACUUCAGUUGUUAAUCAUCAAUGAUUAAUAUAACUGUUGAUUUGUGGGUUUUUUAGUGUGAGUGUGAGAAGUUUCACUGUAGACUUCUUAUAUCUUCUAUCAUGUAUUGUACAAUAAAAUACUUUAAUCAAA